rnacentral:rRNA from 1 species
ACUAUCCGCCUGGGAACUACGAGCAGCAGCUUAAAACCCAAAGGACUUGGCGGUGCUUUAGACCCACCUAGAGGAGCCUGUUCUAAAACCGAUAACCCCCGUUCAACCUCACCUUUUCUUGCUCUCCCCGCCUAUAUACCGCCGUCGUCAGCUUACCCUAUGAAGGCCCUUUAGUAAGCACAAUUGGUACAACCCAAAACGUCAGGUCGAGGUGUAGCGUAUGAAAAGGGAAGAAAUGGGCUACAUUCCCUACAACAGGGAAUUACGGAUAAUAUCACUGAAACGUGUAUCUAGAAGGAGGAUUUAGCAGUAAGCAGAAAAUAGAGUGUUCUACUG